UACGUAGGGGGCAAGCGUUGUCCGGAUUUAUUGGGCGUAAAGAGCGUGUAGGCGGUCUGGUAGGUCCGUUGUGAAAACUCGAGGCUCAACCUCGAGACGCCGAUGGAAACCCUCAGACUAGAGUCCGGAAGAGGAGAGUGGAAUUCCUGGUGUAGCGGUGAAAUGCGCAGAUAUCAGGAAGAACACCCGUGGCUAAGGCGGCUCUCUAGUACGGUACUGACGCUGAGACGCGAAAGCGUGAGGAGCGAACAGG
rnacentral:rRNA from 1 species